rnacentral:rRNA from 1 species
UACGUAGGGGGCAAGCGUUAUCCGGAAUUACUGGGUGUAAAGGGUGAGUAGGCGGCAUGGUAAGCCAGAUGUGAAAGCCUUGGGCUUAACCCGAGGAUUGCAUUUGGAACUAUCAAGCUAGAGUACAGGAGAGGAAAGCGGAAUUCCUAGUGUAGCGGUGAAAUGCGUAGAUAUUAGGAAGAACACCAGAGGCGAAGGCGGCUUUCUGGACUGAAACUGACGCUGAGGCACGAAAGCGUGGGGAGCGAACAGG